GGAACGACACUGUGUGUUGUUGGGUAGGGGAGCGUUCUGUAAGCCUGUGAAGGUGGCCUGUGAGGGUUGCUGGAGGUAUCAGAAGUGCGAAUGCUGACAUAAGUAACGAUAAAGCGGGUGAAAAGCCCGCUCGCCGGAAGACCAAGGGUUCCUGUCCAACGUUAAUCGGGGCAGGGUGAGUCGACCCCUAAGGCGAGGCCGAAAGGCGUAGUCGAUGGGAAACGGGUUAAUAUUCCCGUACUUGGUGUUACUGCGAAGGGGGGACGGAGAAGGCUAUGUUGGCCGGGCGACGGUUGUCCCGGUUUAAGCGUGUAGGCUGGUUUUCCAGGCAAAUCCGGAAAAUCAAGGCUGAGGCGUGAUGACGAGGCACUACGGUGCUGAAGCAACAAAUGCCCUGCUUCCAGGAAAAGCCUCUAAGCAUCAGGUAACAUCAAAUCGUACCCCAAACCGACACAGGUGGUCAGGUAGAGAAUACCAAGGCGCUUGAGAGAACUCGGGUGAAGGAACUAGGCAAAAUGGUGCCGUAACUUCGGGAGAAGGCACGCUGACACGUAGGUGAAGUGAUUUACUCAUGGAGCUGAAGUCAGUCGAAGAUACCAGCUGGCUGCAACUGUUUAUUAAAAACACAGCACUGUGCAAACACGAAAGUGGACGUAUACGGUGUGACGCCUGCCCGGUGCCGGAAGGUUAAUUGAUGGGGUCAGCGCAAGCGAAGCUCCUGAUCGAAGCCCCGGUAAACGGCGGCCGUAACUAUAACGGUCCUAAGGUAGCGAAAUUCCUUGUCGGGUAAGUUCCGACCUGCACGAAUGGCGUAAUGAUGGCCAGGCUGUCUCCACCCGAGACUCAGUGAAAUUGAACUCGCUGUGAAGAUGCAGUGUACCCGCGGCAAGACGGAAAGACCCCGUGAACCUUUACUAUAGCUUGACACUGAACAUUGAGCCUUGAUGUGUAGGAUAGGUGGGAGGCUUUGAAGUGUGGACGCCAGUCUGCAUGGAGCCGACCUUGAAAUACCACCCUUUAAUGUUUGAUGUUCUAACGUGGACCCGUAAUCCGGGUUGCGGACAGUGUCUGGUGGGUAGUUUGACUGGGGCGGUCUCCUCCUAAAGAGUAACGGAGGAGCACGAAGGUUGGCUAAUCCUGGUCGGACAUCAGGAGGUUAGUGCAAUGGCAUAAGCCAGCUUGACUGCGAGCGUGACGGCGCGAGCAGGUGCGAAAGCAGGUCAUAGUGAUCCGGUGGUUCUGAAUGGAAGGGCCAUCGCUCAACGGAUAAAAGGUACUCCGGGGAUAACAGGCUGAUACCGCCCAAGAGUUCAUAUCGACGGCGGUGUUUGGCACCUCGAUGUCGGCUCAUCACAUCCUGGGGCUGAAGUAGGUCCCAAGGGUAUGGCUGUUCGCCAUUUAAAGUGGUACGCGAGCUGGGUUUAGAACGUCGUGAGACAGUUCGGUCCCUAUCUGCCGUGGGCGCUGGAGAACUGAGGGGGGCUGCUCCUAGUACGAGAGGACCGGAGUGGACGCAUCACUGGUGUUCGGGUUGUCAUGCCAAUGGCACUGCCCGGUAGCUAAAUGCGGAAGAGAUAAGUGCUGAAAGCAUCUAAGCACGAAACUUGCCCCGAGAUGAGUUCUCCCUGAGACUUUAGGUCUCCUGAAGGAACGUUGAAGACGACGACGUUGAUAGGCCGGGUGUGUAAGCGCAGCGAUGCGUUGAGCUAACCGGUACUAAUGAAC
rnacentral:rRNA from 1 species